GCCGGGCAUGGUGACGCAUGUCUGUAAUCCCAGCUACUCAGGAGGCUGAGGCAGGAGAAUCGCUUGCACCUGGGAGGCAGAGGUUGCAGUGAGCCGAGAUUGUGCUACUGCACUCCAGCCUGGGCGACAGAGCGAGACUCUGUCUCAA
rnacentral:SRP_RNA from 1 species